UUGAACGCUGGCGGCAUGCCUUACACAUGCAAGUCGAACGGCAGCACGGGAGCAAUCCUGGUGGCGAGUGGCGAACGGGUGAGUAAUGUAUCGGAACGUACCUUUCAGUGGGGGAUAACGUAGCGAAAGUUACGCUAAUACCGCAUAUUCUGUGAGCAGGAAAGCAGGGGAUCGCAAGACCUUGCGCUGAUUGAGCGGCCGAUAUCAGAUUAGCUAGUUGGUGGGGUAAAAGCCUACCAAGGCGACGAUCUGUAGCUGGUCUGAGAGGACGACCAGCCACACUGGGACUGAGACACGGCCCAGACUCCUACGGGAGGCAGCAGUGGGGAAUUUUGGACAAUGGGCGCAAGCCUGAUCCAGCCAUGCCGCGUGCGGGAAGAAGGCCUUCGGGUUGUAAACCGCUUUUGUCAGGGAAGAAACGGUCUGGGCUAAUACCCUGGGCUAAUGACGGUACCUGAAGAAUAAGCACCGGCUAACUACGU
rnacentral:rRNA from 1 species